UACAGAGGUCCCAAGCGUUGUUCGGAUUCACUGGGCGUAAAGGGUGCGUAGGCGGUCGGGUAAGUCUGAUGUGAAAUCUCACAGCUUAACUGUGAAACUGCAUUGGAUACUAUCCGGCUCGAGGAAUGGAGGGGAGACUGGAAUACUUGGUGUAGCAGUGAAAUGCGUAGAUAUCAAGUGGAACACCAGUGGCGAAGGCGAGUCUCUGGGCAUUUCCUGACGCUGAGGCACGAAAGCCAGGGGAGCAAACGGG
rnacentral:rRNA from 1 species